rnacentral:rRNA from 1 species
GAUGAACGCUAGCUACAGGCUUAACACAUGCAAGUCGAGGGGCAGCGGUAUCGAAAGCUUGCUUUCGGUAGCCGGCGACCGGCGCACGGGUGAGUAACGCGUAUCGAACCUGCCUCAUACUCGGGAAUAGCCUUGCGAAAGUAAGAUUAAUGCCCGGUGUUUUCAGAGUCCCGCAUGAGGCUUUGAACAAAGAUUUAUCGGUAUGAGAUGGCGAUGCGUCCCUUUAGCUUGUUGGCGGGGUAACGGCCCACCAAGGCAUCGAUGGGUAGGGGUUCUGAGAGGAAGGUCCCCCACAUUGGAACUGAGACACGGUCCAAACUCCUACGGGAGGCAGCAGUGAGGAAUAUUGGUCAAUGGGCGGAAGCCCGAACCAGCCAAGUAGCGUGCAGGAAGACGGCCCUCCGGGUUGUAAACUGCUUUUAGUUGGGAAUAAAACGGGGCUCGUGAGCCCCCUUGCAUGUACCAUCAGAAAAAGGACCGGCUAAUUCCGUG